AGAGAGGAGGGAGGAAACGAAGGAGGAAGAGGAGGGAGGGAGGGAGUGGCCUUCUGCAGGCUUUAAUCUCCGGCAGAGCCAGGAGCCAAACAACCCAGCACCCCGCCCUCCCCAUGAGAGAUGUGAUCUGAGCAGGUGGCAAGGGGUUCGCUGGCCUGGGCUCCCACCCACAGCUGCCCGCAGACAGACCGACUGGAUUUACCCAGUUCUUAAUUAUGCGCUGGGAGACCACUGGCGGCCCUGGGCAGGCUUUGUACAAGACCACUUCAGCUCCAACGUCGGCCAGGGCUGCCCCAGGAGAAGAGCAACAAAUCCAACAGCCUUGGAGGCUCCCGUACAGCCUCCACUGCAUCAGCAAGGUGGAUGUCUUUAUACAAACUCACAGCACCAACCGAAACGCUAAGCUGUCUGGGAUGAUUUUUGUGCGCUUCCGUAUUGUUCCACUAUUUUAUGACAAUGUUUUCCAGGAUAUGUGUGUAAUUUUAAAUUGAAAAAAUCAAUACAGAGUCAUUAUGCUAAAUGACCAAAAAUGCUGCCUCUGCAUUUUAGUUCCAGUUGCGUUGGGCACGUCUCCAGGCUGAGGUGAGCUGAAACAUCAAAGCAGAGCCGGCUGGGCCUUAUUCAAGGACAGACCCCCGGGGUAAGAAGCAGGGGGUUGCUGGGGCCCUGUCGCAGCUGCUGACAGCCUAUGUAGGUGCCGAGAAGUCCCGGCCGACCUGGUGACCCUCGCGCCCCAGGCAGCAGCUUGUAGCCAAUGGGCAGGCAGCCUCCCUCCUGGGACAGGAGGUGGUUACAGGGACACUGAGUCCCAACAGACUCAGACAAUCCCCUCAACAAUGCAGCAACUAAGUCCCACGUCCUGGAGGAGAGUGCUGUGUUUCUAGGUUGGCGGCUUUCUGUGACCUGAACAAAGGACCAGCCAGAAUCCAGACUCUCCAGGACUCUAGAAGUGACAGCCCAGAGGUUCUGACCUGCUGGGGGGAGAGAAGGCAGCAGCACAAUCCUUUUCCAGCCAGCAGCGCUGUCCCCAGCCAGCUAGCGAGGGGCCACAGGAGAGGCUGUUGGCAGCACAGUCACCCUUGUCAAACAGGGCUGGCCACGCUCCGGGCUGGCAGAGCCCACUUCAUCUCAACCUGGGCUCAAGAGCUGAGUAGGGACCAAGGGUGGCUGACCCGGGCUCCCAAACCUUAGGGACCAUACUGCCCAACAACAAAAAGGACUUUCUCUGUGUCCCCGCCCCCAACAGGGUAAACCACUGAGUCAGCAACGCCACAGCACUUGGCAUCUCCACUACCCAUGCUUUAAGAAGGGAUCUCAGACGGGUCCCAGGAAGCUCCUCACACCAUUCCCUGGGACCUAAGACUGGUCCCAGAGGAUGAGCAAAGACCAUCAGAGGCCAGUUCACAAAUCACUGCAUGGUAUACCUAACCGGGUGACUACGUGAUCAGGUUUCCUCCCACCACCAGGCCAGACUCAGCUUCCCAGUGCUCAGGGGACAGCCAUGCACCCUGUGAGUCUGCACAGGAGAGAAAGCUGGAAUAGGAAUUAACGUGAGGAAGGAAAAAAAAAAAAAAACCCUAGUUAACUGGAGGUCUGCUUAGAUCACCGUGGAUGAAGGUUCUGCAACGUCCUUGUCAUCGACGUCAGGGAUUACAGCAGCACCAAUUCUGUUCCCACCAGCACUCAGCCAGCUCUCCUCUCCAGACCCGCAAGGGUUCUGCUCUCAGAAACCACACCAGGGCACAAGUCUUCCUCCCUGAUCACUCGAGCAGGAUCUCAGCUACUAACAGUUAGGGACCACGUGGAUGGACAUCACUCUGCCCAGACUGAUGGAGUAGAACCUGCUGGACCAAGGACUCUUUAGGAAGCCUGGAUGAACAGAGAAUUAGGGGCCAUGAGACCCAGAUCCCAACAGUGGUUCUGCCCUGCGACUUACAGCAUGAUAUGUCCUCUCUCCAAGUCCACUUUCUCACCUGCAAGAUGGUGAUCAUGUCGCCUGCCCCUUGGAACUCACAGGGCUCUUACUGGGAACAGCACAGACAUCAUUUACAAAGCUGCUUUGUAGAUUGGGGAGUCUUUAGCAUGGUGUUUAGGACCAUGGCCUUGGAGGCAGGCAAACAUGGGUUCAAAUCCCGGGUCUACUACAGAGCUAGCUCUCUGACCUGGAGCUCUAGAUUUCUCACCCAUAAAAUGGAAAAAAUAACAGAAGCCGUACAUUGGCUGUUGUCCAUCCUAACACUGGCAAUUUGAGUAAAAGGGUUUAACCUGGUGCUUGGUGUGUAGCAAGUGAUGCUCGCCGUUAUUAUUAAGCGUUAGGAUGCUGCACAAAUAUUAGUGGAUGUUGUUCAAGAGGCGA